UACGGAGGGUGCAAGCGUUAUCCGGAUUCACUGGGUUUAAAGGGUGCGUAGGUGGGUUGGUAAGUCAGUGGUGAAAUCUCCAGGCUUAACUUGGAAACUGCCGUUGAUACUAUCAAUCUUGAAUACCGUGGAGGUCAGCGGAAUAUGUCAUGUAGCGGUGAAAUGCUUAGAUAUGACAUAGAACACCAAUUGCGAAGGCAGCUGGCUACACGAAUAUUGACACUGAUGCACGAAAGCGUGGGGAGCAAACAGG
rnacentral:rRNA from 1 species